CAUUGGAGAUAUAUGUUUGCCUUUGUUAUGGAUUCAUAUGCUUGUAGUCAUCAUUAGUCUUCUAAUCUCGAUAACUUUCAUUUCUUGUUGUUUACAUCUGUGACAAAAUGGAUGGCACUAGAGAUUGACACUAAGGCAUUUCUUGUCGUUUACAUCUGUCAUUAGGAAUGUAUUGAAGCAUAUUAGACAUAUAUAGUCCGCAUUCAUUUUGUUCUUUCUCUUGGAGGAACAUCAUGUAAUUUGUGUAUCCUAACUAAUUUUAUUUGUAAUUUGACAGGAUAAGCUUGAUGCUAAAAUUAUUGUGGCAGGCUAUUCAACUACUUGUAGUCAGAAGAUACACAACCACCUUAGAUUUUUGAGCCAAUGUCUUCUCGUGGAGAUCGUGUAGUACAUAUAUCUGGCACACCUGAGCAGAAGAGUUUAGCUGAAAACUUGAUUCACGCAUUAAUUAUGUGAGAAAAGCGAUGAUAAUAAUGCUUCUCUCGUGAGAUGUGCGCAAUUAUCAAAACGAGGAUGGUAAAGGAAGCACAUGACACGGAGAAUCAUCUUAUGCAGUCGGCAGAAAGCUAUGACGUUAAAGGAGCUUGGAGAGGAGUGACUAUGUGGUUGUUAUGGUGCUUGAUGUAGCUAUUCAGAUGCAUUGAUGCCCGAGUCAGUUCAAGUUCUAUGUUGUUAACUUAUUGCUUCAAUCUAAUCAGGGAGGAGUGUCAGAUACAUGUACACAAGGCUGGCUGAAAUCACUAGAGAACUGCUAGGAAAGACACUGGCAUCACUUUACCGUUAGUGGAACUAUUGAGGUAGUGGAUGAAGACAGUGCAAAUGAUGCCAGUGAAGGUGACGGUGUAACUCUCUUAAUCACUGAACUGCCAGCUCAGAAGUGGACUCGAGAUUAAAAGGAAUUUUUAAGAGACGGAGAUCAAAUGAUGCAGCGAAACCAAAUGAUGCAGUGAAUAUUCGAUGCUAAGGAGUCCUUUGAUUUUUUUCAAAGAUGCUUCUCAUCAGGCCAAGAAACCCGAGACAGAAUUCUUUGCGGCACCACCUCUUGCACAAAAUAUCGUGGCUCCCUCGUGGAAAGAGAUUAAUCUUGAAGCUCUGAAGUCAGAUCAAAGUCCAACUUACAGUCAAAUUACUCGGAUGUCAUCUACUGAUUUGAGAAAUACAUGGAGUGUUUUCCCAAGGCAGUACGCAGAGGAGUACGAGCAGUGUAUCGAGACUAUUCUAUCAGCGAAUAAACAGUUGUACGUUGCCACAAAGUUGGGCGAUGAACUAUCACGACUGUUCUUUAUGCUAUUAGGCCGGCCGUGUUUAAUUUCUCUAAACUUAGUCUUUUUUUUAUGCUUAGCCAUGAUUUCUAUAUAUGUAACCUACAUCAAGUAAUUAGCGGUGUUUCUAUUCAUGCUUUCAACUAAUUCUAUAGAGUAAUUAGGCUUAUGAUUUGUAUAGUGUACCGGGAGAUAGUUUUUUAUAUCUUGGGGCUACCG